UACUUAAAUCAACUACCUCUAUGACUAGAUUCUCAGAUCUUUAUAAUACUGUUACUAACACAUGAUUCUUAAACAUCUUCAUCACUCUCAAUUCCUACAACUUCAACAUCAAAUUUUAAAAACUUUGACGUUCCAUCUUCUCCACUCACACUCUCUUCUGACUCUCUGUCAGUUAAUAUUUCUAAUGUUAUAGAUUUAUCACUAUUAGAAUUGAUUGUAACAACUGAAU
rnacentral:lncRNA from 1 species